rnacentral:rRNA from 1 species
CUACGGGGGGCACCAGGCGAGAAAACUUUGCAAUGUGCGAAAGCACGACAAGGUUAAUCCGAGUGGUUUCUGCUAAAGGAACCUUUUGACAGUCCUAGAAACACUGUUGAAUAAGGGGUGGGCAAGUUCUGGUGUCAGCCGCCGCGGUAAAACCAGCACCUCAAGUGGUCAGGAUGAUUAUUGGGCCUAAAGCAUCCGUAGCCGGCUCUGUAAGUUUUCGGUUAAAUCUGUACGCUCAACGUACAGGCUGCCGGGAAUACUGCAGAGCUAGGGAGUGGGAGAGGUAGACGGUACUCGGUAGGAAGGGGUAAAAUCCUUUGAUCUAUUGAUGACCACCUGUGGCGAAGGCGGUCUACCAGAACACGUCCGACGGUGAGGGAUGAAAGCUGGGGGAGCAAACCGGAUUAGAUACCCCCGUAGUC